UACGUAGGGUGCAAGCGUUAAUCGGAAUUACUGGGCGUAAAGCGUGCGCAGGCGGUGAUGUAAGACAGUUGUGAAAUCCCCGGGCUCAACCUGGGAACUGCAUCUGUGACUGCAUCGCUGGAGUGCGGCAGAGGGGGAUGGAAUUCCGCGUGUAGCAGUGAAAUGCGUAGAUAUGCGGAGGAACACCGAUGGCGAAGGCAAUCCCCUGGGCCUGCACUGACGCUGAGGAGCGAAAGCGUGGGGAGCAAACAGG
rnacentral:rRNA from 1 species